rnacentral:snRNA from 1 species
GUGCUCAUUUUGGCAGCACAUAUACUAAAAUUGGAAUGAUACAGAGAAUAUUAGCAUAGCCCCCUGCAGAAGGAUGACACACAUUUGUGAAGCAUUCCAUAUUUUA